GGGUUGUGAGGUUAAGCGACUAAGCGUACACGGUGGAUGCCCUGGCAGUCAGAGGCGAUGAAGGGCGUACUAAUCUGCGAUAAGCGCCGGUAAGGUGAUAUGAACCGUUAUAACCGGCGAUACCCGAAUGGGGAAACCCAGUGUGACUCGUCACACUAUCAUUAACUGAAUCCAUAGGUUAAUGAGGCGAACCGGGGGAACUGAAACAUCUAAGUACCCCGAGGAAAAGAAAUCAACCGAGAUUCCCCCAGUAGCGGCGAGCGAACGGGGAGGAGCCCAGAGCCUGAAUCAGCAUGUGUGUUAGUGGAAGCGUCUGGAAAGGCGCGCGAUACAGGGUGACAGCCCCGUACACAAAAGCGCAUGUGCUGUGAGCUCGAUGAGUAGGGCGGGACACGUGGUAUCCUGUCUGAAUAUGGGGGGACCAUCCUCCAAGGCUAAAUACUCCUGACUGACCGAUAGUGAACCAGUACCGUGAGGGAAAGGCGAAAAGAACCCCGGCGAGGGGAGUGAAAAAGAACCUGAAACCGUGUACGUACAAGCAGUGGGAGCACAGGUUUACCUGUGUGACUGCGUACCUUUUGUAUAAUGGGUCAGCGACUUAUAUUCUGUAGCAAGGUUAACCGAAUAGGGGAGCCGGAGGGAAACCGAGUCUUA
rnacentral:rRNA from 1 species